rnacentral:tRNA from 1 species
UGCAGGGUGGAGCAGUCCAGCACCUCGUCAGGUUCAUAACCUGAACGUCCUGGGUUCAAAUCCCAGCCCUACACCCA